UGCUUAACACGUGCAAAUCGAGCGAAGCGCUUACUACACAUCCUUCGGGGGAAGAUGUAAGGGACUGAGCGGCGGACGGGUGAGUAACGCGUGGGUAACCUGCCUCAUACGGGGGGAUAACAGUUGGAAACGGCUGCUACUACCGCAUAAGCGCACGGUACCGGGUGGUACAGUGUGACACCCUCCGGUGGUAUGAGAUGGACCCGCGUCUGAUUAUCUAGUUGGAGGGGUAACGGCCCACCAAGGCGACGAUCAGUAGCCGGCGUGAGAGGGUGAACGGCCACAUUGGGACUGAGACACGGCCCAGACUCCUACGGGAGGCAGCAGUGGGGAAUAUUGCACAAUGGGGGAAACCCUGAUGCAGCGACGCCGCGUGAAGGAAGAAGUAUCUCGGUAUGUAAACUUCUAUCAGCAGGGAAGAAAAUGACGGUACCUGACUAAGAAGCCCCGGCUAACUACGUGCCAGCAGCCGCGGUAAUACGUAGGGGGCAAGCGUUAUCCGGAUUUACUGGGUGUAAAGGGAGCGUAGACGGAAGAGCAAGUCUGAUGUGAAAGGCUGGGGCUUAACCCCAGGACUGCAUUGGAAACUGUUUUUCUUGAGUGCCGGAGAGGUAAGCGGAAUUCCUAGUGUAGCGGUGAAAUGCGUAGAUAUUAGGAGGAACACCAGUGGCGAAGGCGGCUUACUGGACGGUAACUGACGUUGAGGCUCGAAAGCGUGGGGAGCAAACAAGAGUAGAUACCCUGGUAGUCC
rnacentral:rRNA from 1 species